rnacentral:rRNA from 1 species
UGGGGAAUUGUUCACAAUGGGCGCAAGCCUGAUGACGCAAUGCCGCGUGGAGGAUGAAGGUCUUCGGAUUGUAAACUCCUGUUGCCAGGGACGAAUGCACUCGACCUAAUACGUCGUGAUGUUGACGGUACCGGUGGAGGAAGCCACGGCUAACUCUGUGCCAGCAGCCGCGGUAAUACAGAGGGUGCAAGCGUUAAUCGGAAUUACUGGGCGUAAAGCGUGCGUAGUCGGUUAUUCAAGUCGGGUGUGAAAGCCCCGGGCUCAACCUGGGAAUUGCAUUCGAUACUGUUUAGCUAGAGUUCGGCAGAGGGAAGUGGAAUUUCCGGUGUAGCGGUGAAAUGCGUAGAUAUCGGAAGGAACAUCAGUGGCGAAAGCGACUUCCUGGACCAGAACUGACGAUCAGGCACGAAAGCGUGGGGAGCAAA